CAGACUGAUCUUUCCCAAGAGCUCACAUCGAUGGGAAGGUUUGACACCUCGAUGUCGGCUCUUCGCCACCUGGGGCUGUAUCCAUUAAAGCGGUACGUGAGCUGAGUUCAGAACGUUGUAAGACAGUUC
rnacentral:ncRNA from 1 species